rnacentral:lncRNA from 1 species
GUGAGAAACAUGCCUGACCACACACGAAACUGGAGAAGGCAAACAGUGGGUGCAGAUGACCCGACCUGACUGUUCUUCUGAUUUUAAUUCCAGGCACUUCCCUCUUGGCCAGGUGACUCUGGUGCAGAAUGGUGGCAAGAACUCAAACCUGGACUAGGCCUGCUGGGCUCCGAGACGCUAAACAAGCAGCCCAAGGUCACACCGCAGAGUGAGGGCAGCAGAGCCUCUGCGCGUGCCUCCUCCCUUCGGACCCUGCCGCGUUCCCAGAGGCUGGACUCAGCAAGCUGGAACAGGAAUCGAACCCUCAGGCCCUCGUCGCCGUCCCAGCCCUCGAGGAAUCUGCGCCCCAGGCGAAGCUGUCCACGGAGCAGCCGCCCCGCCCCCGCGGAGAGGUCCCGG